rnacentral:misc_RNA from 1 species
AACGCACAUUGCGCCCCGUGGUAUUCCGCGGGGCAUGCCUGUUCGAGCGUCAUUUCAACCCAUCAAGCUUCUGCUUGGUCUUGGGGCCUGCGGUUCCGCAGCCUCUAAACUCAGUGGCGGUGCUAUUGAGCUCUGAGCGUAGUAAUUUUUCUCGCUAUAGGGUCUCCGUAGUUACUUGCCAGCAACCCCCAAUUUUUAUCAGGUUGACCUCGGAUCAGGUAGGGAUACCCGCUGAACUUAA